UACGUAGGGGGCAAGCGUUGUCCGGAUUUAUUGGGCGUAAAGAGCGUGUAGGCGGCUAGAUAGGUCCGUUGUGAAAACUGGAGGCUCAACCUCCAGCUGUCGAUGGAAACCAUCUAGCUAGAGUCCGGAAGAGGAGAGUGGAAUUCCUGGUGUAGCGGUGAAAUGCGCAGAUAUCAGGAAGAACACCCGUGGCGAAGGCGGCUCUCUGGGACGUGACUGACGCUGAGACGCGAAAGCGUGGGGAGCGAACAGG
rnacentral:rRNA from 1 species